rnacentral:rRNA from 1 species
CCUACGGGUGGCUGCAGUAAGGAAUAUUGGUCAAUGGACGAAAGUCUGAACCAGCCAUCCCGCGUGCAGGAUGAAAGCCCUAUGGGUUGUAAACUGCUUUUAGCAGAGAAGAAAAGCUUCCAUUUAUGGGGGUCUGACGGUAUCUGCAGAAUAAGCACCGGCUAACUCCGUGCCAGCAGCCGCGGUAAUACGGAGGGUGCGAGCGUUAUCCGGUAUAAAGGGGUCGUAAGGGUAGGAAGAAGGAAGAGGUGAAAUCUUGUCGCUUAACGAUAGAAUUGCCAAUGAUACUGGUACUCUUGAAUUGGGUUGAGGUUAGCGGAAUGUGACAUGUAGCGGUGAAAUGCAUAGAUAUGUCAUGGAACACCAAUUGCGAAGGCAGCUAACUGGGCCUUGAUUGACGCUGAGGCACGAAAGCGUGGGGAGCGAACAGGAUUAGAUACCCUUGUAGUC